UUUACAAAAAUAUAAUUUUAUUUUUACAGUGAAAAUGUAAGGUUUUAUUUAAACUAUGAAAAUU
rnacentral:tRNA from 2 species